rnacentral:rRNA from 1 species
UAGGGAAUCUUCGGCAAUGGGGGGAACCCUGACCGAGCAACGCCGCGUGAGUGAAGAAGGCUUUCGGAUCGUAAAGCUCUGUUGUUAAGGAAGAACGAGUGUGAGAAUGGAAAGUUCAUGCUGUGACGGUACUUAACCAGAAAGGGACGGCUAACUACGUGCCAGCAGCCGCGGUAAUACGUAGGUCCCGAGCGUUGUCCGGAUUUAUUGGGCGUAAAGCGAGCGCAGGCGGUUAGAAAAGUCUGAAGUGAAAGGCAGUGGCUCAACCAUUGUAGGCUUUGGAAACUGUUUAACUUGAGUGCAGAAGGGGAGAGUGGAAUUCCAUGUGUAGCGGUGAAAUGCGUAGAUAUAUGGAGGAACACCGGUGGCGAAAGCGGCUUUUUGGCCUGCAACUGACACAGAGGCGCGAAAGCGUGGGGAGCAAACAGG